rnacentral:rRNA from 1 species
GACGAACGCUGGCGGUAUGCCUAACACAUGCAAGUCGUACGAGAUCCACCUUUUUUCGGAAAGGGAAGAUUGCAGUGGCGGACGGGUGAGGAACGCGUAAGAACUUACCUUUUGGUGGGGGAUAACAGCGGGAAACUGCUGCUAAAACCCCAUAAUGCUGAGGAGCGAAAAGUGAAAACUGCCAAGAGAGAGGCUUGCGUCUGAUUAGCUAGUUGGUGGGGGUAAAGGCCUCCCAAGGCGACGAUCAGUAGCUGGUCUGAGAGGAUGAUCAGCCACACUGGGACUGAGACACGGCCCAGACUCCUACGGGAGGCAGCAGGGGGGAAUUUUCCACAAUGGGCGAAAGCCUGAUGGAGCAAUACCGCGUGAGGGAUGAAGGAUCGUGGUUCGUAAACCUCUUUUCUUAAGGAAGAAUCAAUGACGGUACUUAAGGAAUAAGCACCGGCUAACUCUGUGCCAGCCGCCGCAGUAACAC